AUAUUCCGACGGCUAAAAAGCAGCCGUACACACACAUACGUCACCUUACACGCACAAAACAAAAGCUUUCGGCUUCAAACCAGCAAAACAAAACACAGAGACACCCAAAAUUCCGAUUCACAUUCCGGUCAACACACUCGCAUAUUCCGUUUCCAGUUUCGUUGUCCGACUCAAGAUUCCGAAUUGCUGGUCCGGCCAGGGCUAGCCUCCGUUAAUGCAACCACGGCUCCAACGAAACCAAGCGUAAAGAUUUCAAGAAGAGAAUGCAUGGAAGCUUCCGCUAAGUCGUUGAUUGCAUGCCCUUCGUUCCACGGUGGUCGCGGUGCCCUCCCUUCCGCCGGUGGGCAUCCCGCCGAUCUCACCUUCCUCGCCGGCGGCGGCUGCUGAGUCCCACGGCGUCGUUUUGCGGUCG
rnacentral:lncRNA from 1 species